UACGUAGGGGGCAAGCGUUGUCCGGAAUUAUUGGGCGUAAAGCGCGUGUAGGCGGCCAGGUAGGUCUGCUGUGAAAACUCGAGGCUCAACCUCGAGACGUCGAUGGAAACCGCAUGGCUAGAGUCCGGAAGAGGAGAGUGGAAUUCCUGGUGUAGCGGUGAAAUGCGCAGAUAUCAGGAAGAACACCCGUGGCGAAGGCGGCUCUCUGGGACGGUACUGACGCUGAGACGCGAAAGCGUGGGGAGCGAACAGG
rnacentral:rRNA from 1 species